ensembl:lncRNA
GGGGAGCAUAUGUAUGAGCUUGAAGAAGCAUAUGUAUGAAGUGAAUUUUUUUGCAGAACAGAUGUCAGAUAUGUUGAACUGUGAUACAAUGUAGAUCAUUUUAUUGGCUUCCUUGUAAGGGACAGUUUUUAAAAGAACACUGACUAAUCUCUUCUACUUUCUUGUACAUCAUCAAGGGAGAGAGAUAAGUCAGUGACCAACUUCUUGAAGGGAUGAAGAACUCCUUUGAGGUGAUGGGAGGCCAAGAGAAAAAGGCCACUUUCCUUGAGGCAAGAGUAUCCAGGCACGUGCAGAGCUACUGACUUCAGUGAAACCUAAGCUGUUGGCUGUCAUGUACCUAAAGGAACAGAACUUCAGUGGUGCACAGGGGUUAGGACACUGCACUCUGGGAUUUCAUUUCGCAUUUUCUUUCUCAGGUGGCCUGUGGAUUUGACUCUUGCCAAGUUGCUGGAAGAAACAAAGCAGCACUGUAUCUUCAGUAGGAGC